ACCACCUCUUUCAUCCAAAAUUCACAUUUACUAAAUUUGACAUACAACUAGUGAUCUCUAAAGGUCUGCAACACCUGUCUCAAGUGUUGUUCAUGCUUUAGAUAGGAGCUAGAAUAGACUAAAAUUCCAUCUAUAAACACCUCCAUAAACUUAUUCAAGUAAGGUUAGAAGACCCAAUUUAUCAAGUCCAUAAACACUGUUGGUGCAUUUGUCAAUCUAAAGGACAUUACCAGGAACUCAUAAUGACCAUAACGAGUCUUAAAGGCAGUUUUUGGUACAUCCUACUCCAUGAUCCUUAACUGGUAGUACCCCGAUCUUAGAUCUAUUUUUGAGAACACCCUGGCCCUUUUAACUGGUUAAACAAGUCAUCUAUCUAUGGAAGUGGAUACUUUUUCUUCAUUGUUACCCUAUUCAACUAUCUAUAGUCCAUGCAGAGCCUAAAUGUCCCAUCUUUUUUUUUUUAAAAUAAAAAAUAAAAAAAUAGGACUAGAGCUCCCCAAGGUAAACUACUCGGGUGUAUGAACCCUCUUUGUAGUAAUUUUUGCAAUUGAACUUUCAACUCAACCAAUUCUGCUGGUGCCCAAGCUGUAGGAGAGAUACCUAACAAUAUAUCAAUUGAGACUUCCACUUCCCUUUCCAAGUGUAGCCCUGACAAUUAUUCUGGAAACACAUCCGAAAACUCUCUCAUGAUGGGAAUAUUAUUAAACUCUACCUCAUUUUUUUUUUCAGAAUCUAUUAUGUAAGCUAAAUAAGCCAUACACCGUUUUCUCAUAAGCUUACUAACUGUCAUGACUGAAAUCACACAAUUUGGCAUGACAUUUCUCUCACCCCUAAAAGUUAUGAUUUUCCCAUCUGAUCCCUGUAGAGUCAUUGUUUUUGAAAAGCAAUAUAUUUGUGCUUUAUGGUUACUUAACCAAUCCAUUCCUAGUAUUAAGUCAAAAUCAUGUAAUUCAAUCGACAUCACAUUUACUUCCAUAUAAUAUCUCUCAAUAGAAAUUUUAACUUCUUUACAGAAAUGUUCUACAUACACUGCAUCCCUUAAUGGUGUGCUAAUCAAAAAUCCCUUUUCUAACUUAGUUGCUUUUUUAGUUUAUUUUCAAUUUUUCUUGCCAUAAAAAGAAUAUGUAGCACAUGGAUCUAUCAAAACAUGCACAUACUGAUUUUCUAAUAAUAAAGUAUAUGCUACUACAUCUAUGGAAGCCCAUACAUCCUCCUAGGUCAUGUGAAACAGUAUGCUCUGGGUCCUCUCCCCUUGUCCUCGAGGUCAACCUCGAUUUCCACUAGUCCCAGAUUGCAUUAGUCUGGUAGGUCUAUCCACAAUGAUUGACUGCUGAUAAUUUUGUGUUUGCUAUCUCUUUCCCUAAACAUACUCAGUUCUCCUAAGAGAGUCCUUCUUAAAGUGUCCCUACUCACUGUAAUAGUACCAUACCUGACCUAAAUAGGGGUAGUCCCGCCAUCUAUACCCAUCUUGCCUAUAAAUGUAGCAUCGCUUUAAUGAUGCAGAGCAAUCUCCAGGAUGUCGUUGCUCACAUUUGACAUAGAGAGGAUAAGUAAUGGUGUUAUACUCUGAAACUCCUCCAACAUAAUUACCCUUAACAUUUGACUGUCCACAAGUUGACCCUCCUCCACCUGUACUGUAAAUCCCGGGGAAAAUCAAGGCUGGAUUAAAUUAAAGAAAAUAAACUAAACUAAAAAGAUGUCGGGGCAAAAAGAAUACGCUUAAAGAAAAUGAGGCCUAAAUGCAAAUAAGAAUAAUUAUAGAGCAUAAAUACUCCUAUUCUCACCAAAAAUCUGCAACUAUCGCAAAGAAAGAAAAGAAGGAGUUUUUGUAUCCAUUUUUACAAAUCAAGAGAGAAACACCAAAAUUUCAAGAACCCAUCCAAGAUUAAGGGUUAUAGGUAGAAUAAACACUGGUGGGCAAGGAAUUAACAAGAAAAUUUGAACAAGAAGAGAAGAAGGGAGUGUCGAUUGUCAUUAGAAAGAAAAGAAGGGAUUGAGGAAAAUUUAUGAGAUAAACUUGUGAUUUGCAGGAGGGACCACAAGCAUGGUGCAACAGUAGCAGCAGGGGAGCACAAGUAGAGAUUCUAUUGCAGGACCAUCGGAUGCACGACAAGAGUAAAUCCUAGCUUAUGUUCCCUUCUUGUAAUCUAGGUUCUAGGGAGUAUACCCUUGUAUUUUGUAAACUUGAAAAUGUUUGUAUAACUUAAUUUGUAUAAUUAAUGUUUAAACUUGAUUAAAUGAACUUAACUAUGUAGUUCAUAUAACCAUAUUUCAUGUA